ensembl:lncRNA
CAGACGAUGAACACCUUUUCCACUGGUUGAUAGCAGUGGCUCACACAGCUCUGAAGAACCCUAAGAAGCAGCCUGGAGGGGAACGCUCAGUAGAACCACCAUGGAGACCGUUAAGAUAGCCUUACUCAUCUUCCUUCUAACCUCGCUCCAGCUCCUCACAACAGAUGCUUCUUGUGUUACCACACAAAAAUCAGCAGAACAUUCAACAACAGGCAAACCAUCAGAAACUACGACACCCGUCACGACUGUUCCUCUUUCCACUGUAAAGAACCUUGGUGUAAAUGUUACUGCAACCAGCGUUACUGCAACCAGUGUGACCCCAACCAGUGUGACCCCAACCAGUGUGACCCCAACCAACCGAUUUUGCAUUCCAGAGAAUUCUACCUGGAAUUCUACCACAGCGCUUGCUACAUCAACAGUAACAGAAAAUACAAAAAUGUCAUCCUCACCCCAAGUCCCAGUGAAUUCCGCAUCUCCAUAUACUAAGGAUAAUGGUGAGACUUCAUAGACAUUUCCUUUAAAUUGGCUAUUGAAAUGUAAUCUGUCUUCUCUGUAAACUUUAUUUUUAUGACAGAGGUCCUACAUCAUACAAUAGGUCUGAUGUGCUCACAUGUGAUUGUGCAAUAAGCUCUUCAGAUGUAAAAAAACAGAUAAUAGCCAGGGUUCGAACAUAUAUACACAUCAUCUCGGAGUGCUGAUUUAGGAUCAGUCUUGUCUUUCAGGUCCCAAUGAAUAAGAUUACAUGGACAGGGAGGACCUGAUCCUACUGUAGAUCAGCUCUCCUACUCUGACAAGCUUAAUACUGGCCCAGAUCUUUUAAAAUGUUAGACAUUUUCUGAACGAGUGCAUUCUACCUCGUUCGCACAGGAACACAAGGGACCCAGGCCCCAACAACUGUUACCAAGAGUGACUCACUAAACAAAACCACCAUUUCUGACCUUACCAAAAAGCUCCCAGGUAGGAGAAGAUUUGUUUACCCUCUCUCAAAUCACAAUAGAGAGGCUAGAGGAUAGCAAGUACUGCAUUGGGUUAAUGAUACCAUGACCCCAUAACAAUGUUUUGCCAUGAAUGUUGUCUUCAGGUUCAGAGGCUGAAAAUACAGGUAAGUCUAAAGCACCAUCACUGUCCCUCAGUGCACUAUUUUGUCUACUACCUGUGUAGGAAGACACGAUGGUAUAAUGAUAAAAAUGACAAUUUUUUCCCCCAGAUCAAGAUAGAGUCAAGGACAAUAAGAAUACGGAUCAUGUCGGUACGUCCUCUACUACCAUCAUCUGUAUAGGAAUAAACUCACAUUGUCAUGAAUGGUGCUCCAUUUUCCUUGCACUGAAAAACACACAGUCCGCAAAAUAACCAUAACAUUUUAAAUGGACACAUUAUCCAGAUGACAAGUUACCUACACCAUAUAUACAAAAGUAUGUGGACACCCUUUCAAAUUAAUGGAUUCGGCUAUUUCAGCCACACCUAUUGCUGACAGGAGUAUAAGAUCGAGCACACCGCCAUGCAUUCUCCAUAGACAAACAUUGGCAGUGGAACAGCCUUAAUGAAGAGCUCAGUGACUUUCAAUAUGGCACCGUCAUAGGACACCACCUUUCCAACAAGUCACAUUUCUGCCCUGCUUAGAUCUGCCCCGAUCAACUGUAAGGGCUGUUGUAGUGAAGCAGCAAAGGGGGGGAUCAACUCCAUAUCAAUGCCCAUGAUUUUGGAAUGAGAUGUUCGACGAGCAGGUGUCCACAUACUUGAGGGUAUGUAGGGUAUUAUGCAACUAGCAUCUCCUUCUCGUGGUCAUCGAAAGUUCAGUUACCGCAUGAAUCACACUGCAGAGUAUAUGGAGCUUUACGUUAUGUUAUUGUUUUCUACCAGGUCAACAGGCUGGAGGUGAGAGACGGAAACUCCUAAAUCAAUUAAUGUAGAACCUUUAUGGACCCAUUUACCUCAGCAUCUAAUGUUCUACCACACCCACCAGAGGGUGCACACACUUCAAAUUUGACUGGGUUGUGUGUGUGUGUGUGUGUGCGUGCAUGUGCGUGUGCCAUGUUUGAUUACAAAUCAUCAUAAAUUGCCUACAUUACACAUUGUCCAAACAAUGGUACUAAUCCAACUUCUCAUGGGAUGUGAAAAACAACAGUUUUGUCUGCCACACUAAAAGAUAUACCUCCUCUUUGUCUUCAGAUAAGAACCUGCUGUGGAUUCUUUUGCCAGUCCUGGCACUUGUGGGGGCUGCUGUCGUGGCCCUUCUGAAAAGUAAAUGCAUGAAGGACCACGAUCACACAGAGAUAACUGAUAAUGGAACAGAAAAUGCCUCUUUCCAGAGCAGGCCGGACAACGCCAAAGACGGUGUCAUGCUUCUCGGGGUGAAGUCUUCAGGCGGUGAAGACAAUGCUGCUGCAAGAUAAAAGGGAGGCCAUCCCAUUUGAAAGGACCAAUGGAUGAGGACGAGCUCUUACAACCAAAAAAUGGUCCAGAUCCCUUCACCUUCAACGAUCUAAACCUUAUGGACUAUCAAAUACAGCAUCACAGAAUCACAAAAGUUACUAAAGUGGGAACAUUUGUAUAUGGUUUGUGAGUAUUGUAGGAUAUGGGGCUCUUAACUGAACACGUGUCUGUUAGAAGGUAUAGCAUGUUUUAUUAUGUAAUUCAUUGUUUUGUGUAUUCCUAUUUUGAUGGUAAUUUAGUCAAGAAGGAAUUGUGUUUUUAAUUUAAUCAAGACCAACAUACAGACAUUUUAGUCAGGAAAACGAUGCUGGAUUCUGAAUUAACAUGAAUAAAUUAACCCAAAUUCUCAUUGUCUGAGUGUAAGAUGAUUGUCUCACCCCUGUAUUCAAGAUACUGGUUUUGAUUUGAUUAAAUCACCCAAACAUGCACAAAAUCCAAAUGUACUGAACCUGAAUUCAACACACAAUUCCUCGAUUGAAACCAGUUAGUGACCAGUACACAUGGUUAACAAGUGUUUGUAUGCUUUAAAUCUGUUUAAAAUAAUUAUUUAGUUUUCAGUGUAAAUGCCAGGAUUGUAAAGAUGAGCUUUUUUACCAGUAUGUUUCCUGCUUUUGAACAAGUUAUUUUGUAUAUUAGCUGUUGCUUGUCAGAAAACUUUUGUCAAAUGUUUCCCAAGGAGGGUUGGGUUUGUUUGAAUCACAGAUGUAUGUUUCCCAAGGUGGGUUGGGUUUGUUUGAAUCACAGAUGUAUGUUUCCCAAGGAGGGUUGGGUUUGAUUAAAUCACAGAUGUAUGUUUCCCAGGGAGGGUUGGGUUUGUUUAAAUCACAGAUGUAUGUUUCCCAAGGAGGGUUGGGUUUGUUUAAAUCACAGAUGUAUGUUUCCCAAGGAGGGUUGGGUUUGAUUAAAUCACAGAUGUAUGUUUCCCAGGGAGGGUUGGGUUUGUUUAAAUCACAGAUGUAUGUUUCCCAAGGAGGGUUGGGUUUGAUUAAAUCACAGAUGUAUGUUUCCCAGGGAGGGUUGGGUUUGUUUAAAUCACAGAUGUAUGUUUCCCAAGGAGGGUUGGGUUUGUUUAAAUCACAGAUGUAUGUUUCCCAAGGAGGGUUGGGUUUGUUUAAAUCACAGAUGUAUGUUUCCCAGGGAGGGUUGGGUUUGUUUAAAUCACAGAUGUAUGUUUCCCAGGGAGGGUUGGGUUUGUUUAAAUCACAGAUGUAUGUUUCCCAGGGAGGGUUGGGUUUGUUUAAAUCACAGAUGUAUGUUUUACAACAUUUGGGGUUAAAGCAAAUAAAACUAAAUGUGUUUAUUUUUUGUAAUGGAGCAAAUCCAUAAGAUUUCCCUCUGGUCAAAGAUUAUUUGAAUUUCUCAAAUACAGAACAGCGCUGUUUUACUGAUCGGCAUUGGUUGAAUAUUUGUUGUUUUGCACCCGUACAUGCUAACAAAACAUUGGCGCCAUUAUACAAUGAAUAAAGUUCAUGUUGAUUUUAG